rnacentral:rRNA from 1 species
UCGAGAAUUUUUCACAAUGGGGGAAACCCUGAUGGAGCGACGCCGCGUGGGGGAUGAAGGGCUUCGGCCCGUAAACCCCUGUCAUUUGCGAACAAACCCGGAGGCUGAACAGGUUUCCGGCUGAUUGUAGCAGAAGAGGAAGGGACGGCUAACUCUGUGCCAGCAGCCGCGGUAAUACAGAGGUCCCAAGCGUUGUUCGGAUUCACUGGGCGUAAAGGGUGCGUAGGCGGUGGGGUGAGUUUGAGGUGAAAUCUCCGGGCCCAACCCGGAAAAUGCCUUGAAUACUAUCCCGCUGGAGGAUCGGAGGGGAGACUGGAAUUCUCGGUGUAGCAGUGAAAUGCGUAGAUAUCGAGAGGAACACCAGUGGCGAAGGCGAGUCUCUGGACGAUUCCUGACGCUGAGGCACGAAAGCCAGGGGAGCAAACGG